UGAUAGAGCACCCCUGGGCUCAAUCCCCAGUGCAACUACAACAACAAAAACAAACCCAUUAAUUCCAGGAUCUUGGAAAUCGGGAAUGAUUUGAAAGAGAACAGCCUUUUAAAAAUCCAACUUCACUUACAAUGAACUAGCGGUCGUUCACUGGACUUUGGACAGUAAAUUAGAAGGAUGCAUGACUUUCCCAAAGAAGUAUAAUAUGUGCUUGUAAAUCCAGGAGAAAUGAAGAAGAAAUAAUGUCUGUCCCCCCAAGUUCAUCUGAAGUUUAGUAAAAGUUAGGGCAUAAAUAACCAGUGCAAUCUCACUGGAUGCUGCAUGGAAUUUGGUUCCUUCCAGCCUUUGGCCUUGCGUCAUUUCCUUAUCUCUUGGAUGACAUUGCCUGGCUCAUCUGCCAGUGCUUUCGUCUGCUGUCUUCUACUCCAUAAAUAUUGUGGCCUGGUUGAAAGGAAGCACCCGCUCUUUGGGGCUGGCCUUUCCAGGGUUUGAUCCCUCUGUCUGGCAGAUGAGCCCUGAAUAGAGAGAGAAAGCAAAAGGGGGGCUUCUCUUCUGCCCAGAGGAACAGCAGGGUGAGGGACGAGCAGGGGGUCACGGGCCUGCUGCUCACCCAGCAGGGUUUAUGAAGAUAGCGCCAGGUAACCACAGGUUCCCAUAUCCAAACAGGGCCUGGCCUCAGCUCUGCCCACCCAAGCUCCAAGGAAAACAGUUAUUUGGAAAAAUGGUUUUCUUUCAUGCUGCCUCCUCCUCCCUAUCAUAACAGAUUAUGAGCAUGUUCCUUGGAGGAUUGAAUGGUUCCUUUUAAGAUGUUAGAAGCCAUUUCUGAGCGAGAGGAUGAGCCUAGUUAAAUUUAGUAGUCCUGCUGCACAGAAGAGAUUAACAGGUAAUUUGAAAGAACAUCAUUGAGGCUCCAGUAAACCAUUACGAUGCUCCUAAGUUUCCAAGCAUUUUGCAAUAAAAAUACUACCUAGUUAUCACACUAAUGAUGAAAGCGUAACUGUUCUCAUCUUGUCCACCACUAAGACCUGCUCCUGGUACACUCCCUGGCACAUAGUAGUACUUGGCAAAUAUUGCUAAACGAAUACAGGAAAGACAUGGCUGCCCUAAGGUUCUGACAGCUUUCCAGAGUGGACAGAAGACCUCAAUCUUGGCCAUGCUUAGCUCAGACACAGUGGGUGAUGACACUAAAUUGUUUGCUUCUAGAUCUAGUUCCUGCUUAUCCAAAAUUAUGAAUCUUAUUUCCAAUAGUUAAUGAAUGUAGGUGAUACCCCAGUAGCUUAACUCAUAUCUAAGAAAGGGCAUUAAGAAAAAAACCACUGUGGUCACCAAGGAAUUAUUCCUAAAGGGAAAGCAGAGCCAUGAAUAACAUGAAAAUAUAGCACGACUAUUGAAAGAGGACAUCUUGGGGUUACAGUGGCUACAGCAAAAGAUAGUCAAAGAUUUCAUUUAUGUCAGCGUUAGAGGGCUAGCGUUGAUUUCCAAACUUUGGAAAUUACGCCAGAUACAGGCUGGUGCAGUGGUGGUGCCUGAGGCCAGUAGAGGGCACUCUGAGCCAAGCGUGCUGCCCCCAAAUCAGAGGGACCCCACCAAGAAGUGGUUUAUGCUUCAUCUUUGUUUUUCCUGAAUGUUUUUAUGGUUUCUACCCGAAGAAGAUAGGGUUUUACCUACUCUGCACCAAAAAACUAUCUGAUAAUUUCACAUACUAAAUACCGAGUCCCAGGAAUAUAAUCAUGUCUUUAAAAAUGUUAAUGGACAUCAACCUUUGAUCUCCUUGAAAUCUGUAGACAAAUUUCCCUCGGGUUAAAUCUUAACAGUGUAAAUGUGCCCUCAGGAAUGAGAAUCUUCUUCAAAUAUUGACUCUAGGUAUAGAAGGUCAUAAAAAUCAAACCAAGAAGGGCAGACUGUAAUGUCAUCUCUUUGAAAGUGAUUUAUAUUUGGUCUAUAUUCAUCAGGUGAAUAGGAGUUACUUAUGCAUCAGUACAAUUACCUGUAGCAUUGUGAUUAAAAAGAAAGCUGUAUAUUCAUCAAGUUGGAAUAUGCUAAAGUCUUGUUUUCAAUUUACAAGCUCCGUUGGAAAUGUCUCCUUCCCUGUGCUUGUAAUUCCUAGCCCUGAGAGAACAAAUAAAUCAAGAGGCCAUUCCAGGAACCAGCACACUUAUGUGCCAACCCUGCAACUGGCAAGUCCAGUACUAAGAAUUUGUCCUACAAAAGAACUCACACAAAUGCCCAAAGAUCUAUGUGUGAGAUUCACUGCAGUGCUGUUUGCAAUAGCAAAAAUUUGGAAAUAUCGUCAUAUCAAUAAUAGAGCAAUAAAAUAAAUCAUACAGCCAAGUCAUAUCAAGCAACUAUAAAAAACGAGAGAUAGACAUUUAUGUGCAUUUUUGAGUGGAAAAAAAGAAAGCCAUAGAACAAUAGACAUAGAAUCAUUUCACAACUUUUUUAAAAAAAUAUUUUUAGUUGUUGAUGGAUCUUUAUUUUUUUUAAAUUUAUUUAUAUCCAGUGCUGAGAAUCAAACCCAGUGCCCCACAUGUGCUAGGUGACGGCUUUACCACUGAGCUUCAACCCCAGCCCUGAGUACCCCAUAAUUUUUUAAAAUCACAUAUGUAUGGGUACACAUAGAGAGGAACCUGAGGAAUUGAUUACUUCUGGGAAAGGAUUGGGGUAGAUGAGAAAUCACAUUCUAUUCUGUUACUGUAGGAAUUUUUCUAAUUUAAAAAAAAAAACUUUAAAACUCUCUAAAAAGAGGGAAAGAAUGUUGUUCACUGAACCUUUCCCUUUGCCCCCCAAAUUGAAUCAGUUCCUUCAACCUGAAAGUCCUUCAGUUUGGUGUGGAUAUGAGAUGUCCCACAAAAGCCCAUGUUAGGAAACUCAGUAAUGUUCAGAGGUGAAACAAUUAGAUGACACAAGCUGAAACCUAAUCCAUGGAUGAGUUCAUCUGAUGUAUUAAUAAUUUGAAAGAACUUCCAUGCUGGGUAGAAAGUGUAGGCUGGGCACGGUUGGAGGAAGGAGGUCACUGGGGGUGCCUCUGGGCUUAUAUUUUGUUCCUGACUCUCCCGGAUCUCUCUCUUUCUGUUUCUGGCUGCCAGGAGCUGAACAGCUUUGCUCUCUUCCAGGUGUUCUCUUCCACCAUGAUGUUCCGCCAUGGCCCUGGGCCCAGAGCAAUGGAGGCAGCUGUGGACUACAUCUCUGAAACUGUGAGCUCCAAGUGUCCUGGUCUGCUUGAGAGUCCACCACAUCUCCCAAAUCCUGUCCUGUACCUCUGCUCUGAUGUGCUGAUUUGUAGCUCCCACCAUCUGAAAGAAACCUUCCGGAACAUUCUGCAGAUGCAUCCCAAGAGAGCUGCUGGAGGAUUCAAGGACACAUGUCAAGAGUCAGCACAACACCUGGGACAAAGUAAAGGUUCCAAAGCCGGGGGUGCCACUGUGAGAGGAGUGCCAUUUCUUUAGCUUGGCCCAUCUGAAUGCUUCCAAAUGUUUCUGAAAGGAUUGCAGCCAAAGAUGACAAAGGACUUGCUCUUUGGACUAUUUUUUAUUGACUCUCUGCCUACAUACUUCUUGAUUCCAGAGAAGUCCCUGAAAAUAGCUAUAGACAGCAAUGCUGAUGGGACCUCGUCCCUGUGUCACCAGCCCUGUAUGGGGCUGCCAUAGGACCGGACCCUGGGAAGUGCCACAAUCUUCCUCACACGACAUGGCCAUGGUUUCCCCUAGUUUUUCUGUAGUGGGGGCUUCCCCACAAGACCUCAUCUGCUAGGUAGCUGGAAACAUCUUUGUUCUUAUCCCAUGGGAGAUUUAAAUGGUCCUGUUAGGAAAUGCUCCAGCCUCAGUGGCCCCCUGACCUUGGCUGCAGAAGGAGUUGGGAGGAAGCACCCAACCUCUUCCUGGAAGAGAAGAUCCAAGAUGCUCCUGCACAGGGUCCUCUAGGCGCCCACGCUCUCUGGCAUGAGUGCUUUGCCUGCUGUGUUCUGCCCACCCCUUUGUCCUUUAUGACUCAACUUGGGACUGCUGGUCUGUCCUGGCCCAGGGCCGCUCCCAGGCUGACCAGUUCUUGCUGGCCAUGAGCCUUGGCUUCCCCACCCAGAAGGUUUGCCGGGACCCCACUGUAGGGUCACCCCACAGCAGCCUCUGGCUCAUAUCUCAGCAUCUCAUCUUGUGGGAACGGCAUCAAAGCACACCCACUCGCCAUCCGUCGCGCCCGUCACCCUCCCAACCCUGGCGCUGCAGCCCCGCGUUGAGAGCCGCCUCGUCUCCACGUUCUCCCCUCAGUGCAUCAGGAUGUUUCUAAAGCCAAAGGCCCCUCACCCCCCACCACACACACACACACACACACACACACUUAUCAUACCUUCUUUUCUAACCCGAUCUUUAAGACUGAACCUCACACCACACCCCCACAGUAGUGGGAGCUCCGCAGACUCUCUGCCGAGCCGCGCCCUCGCUAUGUGAAUUGGGAGCACAAGCCAUUUUGCAAGUCUCUCCACAGAUCUUGGCAGUUGAGUCCAACUCUUCUUUAUUCUGUGCUCCCCUUUUCCUUCUCUGGCUACAGGAGACCGGCCUCCUGGCCCAGCCUCUGAGAGGGAAAGCCCAAAUGGAACAUGGUGUAUAAGCAGUGGGAUGGGAUGAGAGGAGUGAAAACGCAUUGUUUCAUUUUUGCAAAACAUUUCCCUCAUACGACUGUCCCCUUACAGGUUGAGGCUGUCAGAGCUGACGUCCUCCAAGGCAUAUUUCUUCGCUCAUUCUUAGCUGUGUUCCUUUCCGCUGAGCACCUACAGCAGCAGGCAGGCGCUGUGCUGUGGACCCAGUAGCUGCCUCACAAAUGGUACAGACGUUCUCAUCUCCACAUGGCAAGAUGCUCAACGUCUUUAGCCACCAAGGAAAUGCAAGGCAAAAGCACAAAGUCAUGUUGUGCUCAUCAUGAUGGCUUUAAUGGAAAAGGUAGACAAUAAUAGAUAUUGUCAAGAAUAUGAAGAAAUUGUUCACAUGUUGUUGGCAAAAUGCAAAAUGGUGAUCACUUUUGGAAAACACUUCAAAUGGUGAAGCAGAGUUAACCAAAUGACCCAACAAUCUCAUACCUAAGUAUAUACCCAGGAGAAAUGAAAGCAUAUAAAAGUAGUCUACUCAUGUUCAUUCAAUUACUCAUAGUAGCCAAAAAGUAGAAAAAACCCAAAUGCCCAUUGAAUGAUGAAUGGAUAAAGAAAUGUGGUACAUUCAUACAGUGGAAUAUUAGCCAUAAAAAGAAUGAACAUAACAUGAUGAAUCCUGAAAUUUUCAUGUGAAAUGAAAGAAGCCAAUCACAAAAGACCAUAUUUUAUAGGACUCCAUGUUUUCAUAUACAUUCCAUGUAUAUGAAAUGUCCAGAAUAGGCAAAUCCAUAGAGAUGGGGAAGAAGAGAAAUAGAAUAUAACUUUUUAAAAGGUUGUUUUGCGUUACUUUUUGUGGCUCUGGGGAUGGAGCCCAGGGCCUCACGCACAGUAGACAAGCACUCACCACUGAGCUACAUCCUGACCUUGUAAAAAAAACAAGUAGUUUUUUAGUAAAACACUAAAAAUAUCCUGAAAUUAAAUAGCGCAAUAGUUGUAGAACCCUGUGGACAUACCAAAAGCUAUUGGAUUGUAUACUUUAAUUGGGUGAGUUGAUAUAUGAAUUAUAUGAGUUGAUAUAUAUGAAUUAUAUCUCAAUAAAGCCCCCAUCAAUUCUCUCAUUCUCUCUGUCCCAGUUUCUUAGCUUUCCUAGAACAAACAUGAAUUCAACUUUCUGUCAUUUUGAGACUUAUUCUAGCACAUUUAUUAGAGUCCCAUAUUAUGUAGGCACUAACAUAAUAAUUUUUAAACAUCUUUUAAAAAAAUUUUUAGUUGUAGUUGAACACCUUUAUUUUAUUAUUUAUUUUUAUGUGGUGCUGAGAAUCGAACCCAGCACCUCACACAUACUAGGUGAGCACUCUACUGCUGAGCCACAACCCCAGUACCCCAAUAUAAUAAUUUUAAGUGGUCAUUUUCUGUUAUAAGGUGGACUCCAAGAGCAUGUGUCUGUUUGAUUCUGUCAUGUCCAUCACGCUUAACCCAGGACCUGACGUAGCAGGGUCUCCAUUAGUCUCUGUGGAGUGGAUGGCUUCACAGAGCUCACAUCUUAAGUGGACACAGUCCCAGUGACAACUGCACGUCAUUCAUUCAUUCAGCACAUAUUUUCUGUAGCCUCCUUGGUGUGUGGAGCGUGGGAAAGAGGCAGACAUAACUGAGCCCUGGGAGAACCUGGAACAAGGAAACCCACACGAGCAGGUUUCACAAUUCAAUCAAACACUGAAAGCAAAUAAUAUUUAAUAAAGGUUUGCAUAUAUUGGAAUUGGAUGGUUUUCAUUGUU